UACACCGACCUGUAUAGGAUUUGCGGGCGGAGACGGCGGCUAUGGGGCCGCAGGCCGCCGGCGAACGUGCCUGUCCUGCUCACCGACAGGUACCAGUUCUCCAUGGCCUACGCCAACUAGAAGGCCGCGGCGAGCACAAGGACCAAGCCGUGUGAGGUUCCUCCUGCUCCUCACUUCCACUCUCGUACAUACACUGGUAUGCGUUCACUGGUUCGAUCGGAUUAGGUUGGCUGUGAUUGAAAGGCCCAUUGUUCGAACGAUUGCUCGAUUUGGCUUGUGAUAAUGGGGUCGGCUAUUAGGCUUUCACUUAUAUCCUUCGCGUUAAAUUGUAAGUGAGAUUCACGGAUAUUCUUCUUUGCAAAAGGAUCAGGGCAUUUAUUGGGCCGAAGUUUACUGGACAGAUAGAUGGGUUGCAGGGCAAAUCAUUUCUGAUCUCGCCCCUGCUAUGGUCGCUGCUGUCAAUUCUCGUGCCAUUAAAAGCCUGACGGUUGCCGCUGCCUUACCUGAGAGUGCUUGGAUCAGAGGCAUCACCGGCCAUUAUCCAAUUUCUGCACCUGGUCUGUGGAGAACUAUGAAACAAAUAGAUUAUCGUUUGCUAUAUGCGUGUAUCUGUGGAGUUCCUUGUGUGAAGGACCACGUAUAUUUGCCCAUAUUCUUGUUCCAUCUGAAUUUGUCCGAUUAUAUUUUGCGGUUUAGUAUAAUCACUCUGUAUCAUACUAGGGGUAUUAGGCUUCUUUUCCAUAGUGGGUUCUGGCAUUACAUUCUUAAUAAUUGAUAUUUUCUGAAGAAAAGAUCACAGCCACUUCAGGUUAGAUCAUUAAAUAGUUCUAUGUCUUCAUGUACUGGAGGUGCGAAAUUGGAUACUAGUAUUCCACUACGGUGUAGAAGUGGAUCCAUUUCUUGUGUAACAAUGGGAAUAUUUGGCCAUUUUCACAAUGAAUAGAUGCUAUGUUUCUCGAAGGAAGAUCUAUGUACCAGCCGUAUGAAAGAAACCGGUGAAACAGGGAAAGUUCGAUGAAUGUUGCAUUUGUUGAUGGGCAUCUUUUGAAAAAAGAAAAAAAUGUUUCCUGUCAUAUGGGAAGCAUAGUGUCUUCAUCCUAAUUUUCACUAGACUCAACUGUUUUAUGAAGAGUACAAGAAUUUAAACUACUGAAAAAAGUUAAGUAUCCCUAACUUCCUUAAUCAAGUAACUGCAACUCUCAUGGGAAGCCCUGCUAUGCAUUAAUUUCCUUUUGUACAAAUUGUAAAUAUUUGAACAGUAACUGACAAUUGUGCUCUAGAGGUGUCUGCUAUCAGUGCAUAUUCAUACAAAAUAUUAGUUCUUGUUUGUGUAUGAAGUCAAUCUUGAAUUUCCCAUUUUACCUUACCCCGAUAUGUUCCAGACUCUUUCCUUUUCUACCUUUAGACAAGGAUGCGAAUAAAAAUUCUUGUGAUCCAGAUGUGCACUGUCCGUGGAUCGUAAACCAUGCUGGUAGUGAUAGCAUGCCCACAAGGAAGGUCAUGCACCUUGGUCCACACCCUUUGAGAAAAUAUAUGGUUAGCAAGCAAAUAUUUGUGGAACUUUGCCAUCUUUUCAACUAAUUUUUUUUGUUUCUAUGUACGUACUUUCUCUGUAUGUAUAUGUUAUUAAAGGAUAUAUACUUUGCUUCUUUUGGAAAUUUUGCAUCGCUAAAGUUUCCUCACUGGUCGUUCCUUUUCUUCAUUCAGUAUUUUUCUUCUCGAACACAUCUCUAAAUGUGUGUCAUUUGUGUUAGAAGAAAGCACCUAAAUAGUGCAAAGUAUUACAGCUUAAACAGCGAGCAAAACAUAAAGGCUAUAGCUAAAACAAUAAAAUAAUGCCACAAAAACGCAAAGAAAAGAACGGGCAUAUAGAACUGUAUUAGCUACUCUAUGCUACGGUAUCCUACUUUAGAUUCCAACAUCACGAGUGCAGGCAUGUAAGGGAAGCUUGCGGAGCGCCUUCGCUGGCGUCCAUAGAUUUGCUUCAGGUUUUUUUGAGGGAAGAGCAGCGCUGCUUCGUUUCAUAAAGAGAAAACCAGGACAAAUGCCGGCAAAAGUACAAGGUAGAACUUAAUUACAAAACAAAGAUGAAAACAGCUAAAGGUCCAUAGAUUUGCUUCAGGUUUGAUAUGUACUAUAGAAUACUGUUUGUACUAACCUUGAAUAAUGUAUUGGGUUUAUUGCAAAACUUUUUGUUCAGAGAAGAUGAUAUCUCUUUCCUUCAAUCUGUCUCAAGCAUAUAUGUGAGGUACAAUCUUUGCGCUCCUAAUAUUUUGUAUGAAUCUGAUGAAUCUGUUGAUGGUACCUCACAUAUGAGCAUGACUGAUAGAAUGAAACUUUACAUGCACAGAAUAUGAUAUACAGGUCUAAUUCAGGAAGCAUGGCUAAUCAACAGAUAGAUACUUUCCAUGGUUGUUCAAUCUGUUUGGCAUACGGCUUCAUGGAACACAUUCUCAUGCUUAUGUUAGCUCGUUCAUGGUUGGUAAAUGUUGUGUUCUGUUAUUCUAACUGAAUAGAACCAUCACACUCAUAAAUUUCUCCUCUAUUUUCUUACCGAAGCACAUUCUGUCAGCAUGCAUCCUCAUAACCAGAUUUUUCUUCAAAAGUACGCAAUUGCACCAUAACCAGAUUAUUACCUAUUCUUUACCAUGUUUCCUGAGUUAUACUAUCGUCUAGCAGUUUGUUUCUGAUUCAAUCUUUACUUUCCUUGUAUUAGAAGUUUGUCAUCUCCUCUGUAAGUAGCGUACACUAGGAAAUCAAGCAAUAAACCAGUAGUUCUGGAAUCCCUAACCCACUUCUGUCCUCUCUAACCUGUGCUGCCCUUAACCUUUAUUUGGUAAAAUGUACCACCAACUUUACCUUCACCUUCUGAUUCAAAAAAAAAAAAAACUUUACCUUCACCUUCAGGUUAUGAUAAGUGGAUAUCCUAACAUUUAUGCAGUUGCUGUAGAUAUCUAUGAUCUACGGUAUGUUUGACUUGGCCUUAGAUCUACUGCUGGCAAUGAUGAGGAAACAAUAUGCAGGGCCAUGAGUUAGACACUGUCGGCAUAGGGGCUUAUCUUGUUAGUAUAUGUUAUUCUGAGCAAGCCCUAGGCCGUUAUCUAGUUGAGAUUAAUAAUAAACCAUGCAUCAAACUUUCCGAGGACAUAGCAUAAGUAUGUUAUCAUUUCAAAAUAGGCAGCAAGUGCAUGUCAUUUUAUUUUUCCCUUGACUUAUGCUGCCAUGAAACGAGCCAAAUAUACAAGAAAUAUAUCUGACAGUUGUGUAUAGUUUAGUUCAAAAUGCACAAAAACUAAACUAUACCACCAGCACACUCGCUUGUGUAUUUAUGAGGUUUUACUGACAACAAAUAAUUAUGGGAUAUGGUAUUAGAAAGACUGAUAUCCAAAAGUUGCCUUGUAAAUAAGAGAGAGAAUAGCUAGCGGGGGUGUUCAAAAUACAUAAAUCAGGGAAGGUGAGAAAAAAUCCUUAAAUUCACACGAUCGUCUUACAAAUAAUGAAACACUUGAGUCUGCCACAUAUUUCCAUUUGUCAUAUUACGACUAGAUAUCUUUUGAAUCUUUGUUGAAUUGCUUUGUGCAGUUGGAUAUAGACUUUAUGAAGAAAAGAACUACAAACUCUUCAAAUGUUGUUAUGCUGAAACAUUCCAAGCUGGAGAACGAAUCCUUUGUUGCCAUCGGUUUAUUAAAUUGAAGAGAGCUACGGUUUUGGAUCCCUCAGCGUGUCGAGGAGCACGUACACUGCUAUUGGCUUGGAAUAUCAAAUAAACUGAGAGCAGACUUGCCGAUCAGAAACUGCUGCAUGCAACAGAUUGAAAAACUGCGCCAGAUCAUUUUCAGGAGAUGAAAUCCAAUGCCCUACGAGGUUUGCUCCCAUCCUCACUUCAUCAUGCCAGAACAACAGAGCCAUGAUCUCAUUUCCUCAAACAGCUAAGUUUGAGCAGUGCAUUGUAUGAUUUCAGCCAUUCCCUAUAUAUGGUUGGUGACGCACCAGUUGUUGAAUCACGGGCCUAUUUGGAUUAAAGCCACACCUUGCCAAGCCACAGGUUAGGCAUGCCACACCCUCUCAUUCUAGUGUUUGGUUCUUUGCCUCACUUGUGGUGUGCCACAAUUUGUUAGCACCUGUCAUACAUAGAAAUUCUUGCCAAGUCUUGCCAAUCAACCAAACAGACCCUACAAUAACUGGUUAUCCAUCAAGCUCCAGUCGCAGAAUGAAGAUGUAAUUAUUACAUGGCAGUUGGAAUGAAUACCAAGAUGGAAUUAUUACAUGGUUGUGUACAUUUGGUCCAUUAAGCUCCAGUCCCAGAAUCCUGUCAGUGUUUAUUCGAGAACAUGCCAAUCCUGUAAGAUUUUAGUUCUUAUUAUUGAUGCAAAUCAUUUACUGGU